rnacentral:rRNA from 1 species
GAUGAACGCUAGCGGCAGGCCUAACACAUGCAAGUCGAGGGGUAGAAGGAGCUUGCUCCUUUGAGACCGGCGCACGGGUGCGUAACGCGUAUGCAAUCUACCUUGUACAGGGGAAUAGCCCAGAGAAAUUUGGAUUAAUGCCCCAUAGUAUAUAACCUUCGCAUGUUGGUUAUAUUAAAGUUCCAACGGUACAAGAUGAGCAUGCGUCCCAUUAGUUAGUUGGUAAGGUAACGGCUUACCAAGACGAUGAUGGGUAGGGGUCCUGAGAGGGAGAUCCCCCACACUGGUACUGAGACCCGGACCAGACGCCUACGGGAGGCAGCAGUGAGGAAUAUUGGUCAAUGGUCGCAAGACUGAACCAGCCAUGCCGCGUGCAGGAAGACGGUCCUAUGGAUUGUAAACUGCUUUUAUACAGGAAGAAACCCUCCCACGUGUGGGAGCUUGACGGUACUGUAGGAAUAAGGAUCGGCUAACUCCGUG